CCUACGGGUGGCUGCAGUGAGGAAUAUUGGUCAAUGGGCGCGAGCCUGAACCAGCCAAGUAGCGUGAAGGAUGACUGCCCUAUGGGUUGUAAACUUCUUUUAUAAUGGAAUCAAGUGAGGCACGUGUGCCUUUUUGUAUGUACUUUAUGAAUAAGGAUCGGCUAAAUCCGUGCCAGCAGCCGCGGUAAUACGGAGGAUCCGAGCGUUCUCCGGAUUUAUUGGGUUUAAAGGGAGCGUAGAUGGGUUGUUAAGUCAGUUGUGAAAGUUUGCGGCUCAACCGUAAAAUUGCAAUUGAUACUGGAAGCCUUGAGUACAGUUGAGGUAGGCGGAAUGCGUGGGGUAGCGGUGAAAUGCUUAGAUAUCACGAAGAACUCCGAUUGCGAAGGCAGCCUACUAAGCUGCCACUGACAUUGAUGCACGAAAGUGUGGGUAUCAAACAGGAUUAGAUACCCCAGUAGUC
rnacentral:rRNA from 1 species